AACUUUAUUUUUUGUUUGAAUUUUAUUUGUUUAUUUUCUCUUUUGCUUUCGCUUUAUAUAGAAGUUAAUUAGAACAUAUAUAGCAAUGUUAGUUAUGCUAACUAGUAUAUAUAUAAAAGAAUGUCUUUUUUAACUUUUUCAAUUAAUAAAUAUUCUUUUCUCCUUUUUUUUCGUUAUCUCUUAAUGGAAGAAUUCAAGCCACAUUAUUAACAUGAUAUUAGGAAAUUAUAUUCUAAUAUUCCAACUUUUCUCCACUAAUUUUG
rnacentral:lncRNA from 1 species